CCCCUAGUAACUGCGAGUGAAGCGGGAAAAGCUCAAAUUUAAAAUCUGGCAGUCUUUGGCUGUCCGAGUUGUAAUCUAGAGAAGUAUUAUCCGCGCUGGACCGUGUACAAGUCUCCUGGAAUGGAGCGUCAUAGAGGGUGAGAAUCCCGUCUUUGACACGGACUGCCAGGGCUUUGUGAUAUGCUCUCAAAGAGUCGAGUUGUUUGGGAAUGCAGCUCAAAAUGGGUGGUAAAUUCCAUCUAAAGCUAAAUAUUGGCGAGAGACCGAUAGCGAACAAGUACCGUGAGGGAAAGAUGAAAAGAACUUUGGAAAGAGAGUUAAACAGUACGUGAAAUUGCUGAAAGGGAAACGCUUGAAGUCAGUCGCGUUGGCCAGGGAUCAACCUUGCUUUUUUGCUUGGCUUACUUUCUGGUCGAUGGGUCAGCAUCAAUUUUGACCGGUGGAAAAAGUUCAAAGGAAUGUGGCAUCUUCGGAUGUGUUAUAGCCUUUGUUCACAUACAUUGGUUGGGAUUGAGGAACUCAGCACGCCGCAAGGCCGGGUUUUUAACCACGUACGUGCUUAGGAUGCUGGCAUAAUGGCUUUAAUCGACCCGUCUUGAAACACGGACCAAGGAGUCUAACAUGCCUGCGAGUAUUUGGGUGAAAAACCCGAGUGCGUAAUGAAAGUGAAAGUUGAGAUCCCUGUCGUGGGGAGCAUUGACGCCCGGAUCUGACCUUUUGUGACGAUUCUGCGGUAGAGCAUGUAUGUUGGGACCCGAAAGAUGGUGAACUAUGCCUGAAUAGGGUGAAGCCAGAGGAAACUCUGGUGGAGGCUCGUAGCGAUUCUGACGUGCAAAUCGAUCGUCAAAUUUGGGUAUAGGGGCGAAAGACUAAUCGAACCU
rnacentral:rRNA from 1 species